CUCGUGUCUUCCAGUGCAGAGAGUGGGGAAAAGUCCUUCAGAAAAAGCCUCCUGCAUCCCUGUUAAUUCAUUUGCCUGGAAGAAAGUAUUAAAUCAAGCUUCGAUUUUCUGUAAUCAUGACUUUCAGUGGCACAUUUCUCAAGCACAUGCACAAGUGACUGUGAUAUUAGGUGCCACGGUCUGAACAUGUGAUUCGUGAAGGGGGCAGAGCCUUCUUGGAUAGGAUUAGCACUCUUACAGAAGAGGCCCCAGAGAGACCCCCAAUUCCUUCCACCACACAAGGACACAGUGAGAAGAUGGCUGUCUAUGAACAAGGAAGUGGGUCUUCACCAGACAUGGAAUCUGCCAGCACCUUGACCCUGGACUUUCCAGCCUCCUGAACUGUGAGAUAUAUAUUUCUAUUGCUUAUAAGCUAUCCAGUCUAUGGUAUUUUGCUAUAGCAGCCUGAACAGACUGACAGUGGGUUAAAAGAAAUGCUUCCAAGGGCUCCCAAUCUAAUGCAAGAACUCCCAGAAACUAUGACCUAUCCUGAAAAACAGACAGAAUUUUAUGUCUAUUUUCACAAGUUUUUCAUUUAGCCUAAAGUUUUACAUAGCUUUUUUUAUAUCAAGCUCUGUCUAGUGUCUAGCGAGUCAAGAAUAUAAGCAAUUUCUCCCAUCUCCAGAAUGAAUUACUUUUGCUUUUGAAAAAAAUAAUAAAAACAACAAAAAAAAACUCACAAGCAUCAUAAUUAGAAGCCAAUAAAAUUUAAAUACUAUUAAGAGAUUUAAAGGGAGGUUUGCACCAUGGGAAAUCUUUUAUUCUACAACAAAACAGAAUUUCUGAAUAGAGUUUUCAUAAACUGUUUUAUCACAAAGAUACAAUACCCUGGGGGAAAAUCACCUGCUUCUAAAAAUAUGGGUUCACCAUUUGUAGGGAGAGGAAGAAAGCCUGGCUAAGCUAACCCAUACAUGUGUUCCAGUAGCCAUUCCUUUUUCAACUUCAGAAUUCCUCCAUUUCUAAACCUCUCCUUAGAAAAAUGUAAUCACUGUUUGAACUAUCUUCCAGGUUGAAGCCUGCCAAGGAAGAAUUGGGCUCACAACUGAUUGAAAUUAGAACUUGACAGCUUUAAUUCCCCAAUUAAAAAUAAAAAAGAAUCCAGGAUACUGAAAAAUUGUUCUUUUCACACAGACAAGCAAUGUGUCAGUGACUGUCUUCCCACCAUUAACCAUGGAACAGAAAGCAUGUGUGAUUGUGUUUUAUGAGACUGCAGCUCAGGGGAAUUCUCUUAAAUUUCUUUCUCCCUUUUUUUUUCUUUAAAAAUCACCAAAGGAAAAAACAAACAGCUUUGGUAGAUAAGUUACCAAAUUCCAUGAUUCUCUAUAAAUAUCAGAGCUGGUAUCAUGUGUCAUUCACUCUGCAGAGAUUGUGUAAGAUUAACAUGAGUUAAUAUUUUAUAUGAAAGGAAGAUGACCUUAUAAAAUGAGUUAAGAAAAAAAAAACACUUUGUGCAGUUGGUAGAGGAAAGAAUAAGGCUUCAGGUGCCAGUUCUCAACGUCUUGCAUCUCAGCUCCAAAUCUGUCCUUCAAUACCUGCUUUGUGAUAAGGGAGGGGUUUCCUUUCAGCUUUUCUCCUGCACAGACAGCAUGAGGUAGAGCUUUCUUAGUAGGGGUGCUAGAGGGACAGUGCAGGAGCAAGGGGGCUCUCCUGCUGUUUUCAACUGGUGCAUGGUGGGCCACUGGUGUGGGUGUGAAGAGAUCUGGUGAUGCUCAGUAACAGCCACGUGCCUAAAAGAUAUAGUCCCUCAGUGCCCUUGCAGCCCUGGCCUGGGCUGGUGGUAACAUUCUUAUGGCUUUCUCCACAUGGAUGCCAUGUAGGCCAGACCCCCUAUUCCCUCUGCUUCCUUGCAUGCCUGGCCACCUGCUAUGGCUCACCUGUGCCUUACUUGCAUCCUAGAGGCAGGAUUGCCAGAUUUAUUAAAACAAAACAAGAUUCUCGUUAAAUUUGAAUUUCAGAUAAAUAACCAUAAUUCCUUAACAUAAGUAUAUCCCAUAAAACAUUUGGGCCACACUUAGACUAUAGGCAGACCAGCCAACUUUGGAAUCCAGAGGGCUGCAAUCACACAUUCUCCGAUGUGUCUGAACCCUACCUAGCUUUGCAUACACCCCUCAUCCCUCCUGUAACAUAAAUACUUUUCUUAACAGUUUUGAACCAGAGAUAAGUAAUUCUUUAUAUUACAUUUCCCUUAGUUUAAGUUACUAUGUGGUUUCUGUCUUCUGAUUGGACACAGACUGAUAUACUUCAUAUUCAGAAAGAAACAGAGAAGAGGGUGGUGAAGAACUUUGUGAGGUAAUUUGCAAGUGAGAAAAUACUAGGCAUGUCCAGGUAUGCUUUUAAAAGCAAUUCUGAUCAAGACAAUGCAGAGUCCUGAAAACAAUAAAACACCUAAUGCCAGAAGCCAUCUGAAUUUAGGGUUUCGGGAUCUGUGGCAUGAAACACCUGCUACCCUCUUCCUGCACUUCAUGGAUACUCUGCAUCCAUUGCCCCGUCAGCCCAGCUGCCCUAUUGUUGGCUGCAGGAGCAUCUUGCAGAUAGACUGGGGGCUGAUGAUGCCCCUUGCUAGCAGGCGGUCUAGCAGUCCUCCUUAGAGAGUGACAAACACACCUAUAAGGUGCAAUGGAGAGUCAUUCAAGACAUGCUACUAUUGAGCUGAGGAGUUUCCACGGUCUAAGUAAAAGAAUGAGAAGCUUUGAAAAAAGAGAUGAACUUUGCAGGGAAACUUAAUUACUGGAAGUAUUUUGUGUGUAAGAAACUAACAUCUGAGGAAUUCUCUUUGAGAGUUCUCUGGGGGAAAUGAAACUUUGUGAAGUCAUAGAACGCUUAUACUAAAAAAAUCAAUUUCUGAGACAUGAGCAAGUGUAGAAGUUCAAUGAUAUGGCUAUUUGAGGUUAUGGGGCCAUCUGAGUGAGCAGAGCCUUUGGAUGACUCUGGGGCCUAGCAGGGACCUCAGGGAGAGUGGUGGGAGCCAUAGCAGGCUUUCGUUAAAGCUCACAGAAGGAUUGUGAAGGUUCUGCCCUGGUAUCCUCUGUCUGGGUACUUAACUCACUGGAAGGCUUGUAGCAUAUCCCAGUUCAAGUGGGAUACCUGGAGCUGCCUCAGGCCAGAGAUCUGUUUGCCUAAUCUGUUUGGGUUCUAUAUUAUGUCAUGAAGUAAAAGGUGAUCAUUCAAAAUUUAUAACAUUUUGAGGAACAACAAUCUCAUCUUUCUUUGUACUGUAGUCACUCAGGGGUCUUGCAUUUCUCCCGUUGGGUUAUAAACUAGAAAAUUGGAACUUGUAUUUUAUUCAUUUGAAAUCCCCCAUUGUCUGGCACAUGCUGUAGAAUCUCUGUGCUCCUCAGAGAAACAAUAGGAGUGGGCACAGUAUCACAUCUUUGUCCCAUAGUCUCUGCAUGUGCUCAGGAAGAAACACAGUCCUUGUUGGUGGAAUGAAUGAUUGGAAGCCUAUAAUUCUAAAAAGAGAAAGCUUAUGUUGUAUUGACUUGUACUUGGUUCACUUUUUGAGUUACCUUGCAUAAUUCAAUUGUUUUAAAGCCCGUUAACACUAAGUGCUUUAUUUUAUAACCAUCGGAAUUAUCAAAGACAGCUGAGGAGGUCUUUGAAGAUCUUUCCUUUAUGUGUGUGGCUGAGGAAAUGUAUUGUAUUUACUUAUAUGUACUCUGAUUAACAUGAUUACACAAGACCAAAUACAAGUGUGUAAAGAAGUCCUUCUUCCUGUCUCUCUUAGAAUCUAGAUCUACCAACAAGCAGCGGGAGGUGCCUGACUGCACAGCAGGUUCUGAUGAAAUGGAGGGUUUUUAAAACCAGACAGUCUGCACAUCCACCGCUUAACCAACUUGUCCCCUCGGGCAAGUCGUUUAAUCUCUCAGAGCCCCACGUAAAAAAGGAAACAAUAAUAGAACAGUUUUUUUAAAGCUGCUGAGAAAAUUAAAAGAGGUUUGGUGAGGUGGGCCUGAGGGAGUUUUUUUCCCUUUGAAGAUACAUGGUUCUGCAAAAAUUGAAGGACCUCUACCAGCAUUAAAAAUAUUGAAGAAGGCUUUGAAGAAGAAAGAACUUGC
rnacentral:lncRNA from 10 species